rnacentral:rRNA from 1 species
GACUGGAUAGGAAGAUAAUAGGCAUCUUUUAUCUUUUAAAAGACGUAGUAAUAGGUAUGCUUUAGGAGGGGCUUGCGCCAUAUUAGUUAGUUGGUAGGGUAAUGGCCUACCAAGACGAUGAUGUGUAGCUGGACUGAGAGGUUGAACAGCCACAUUGGGACUGAGACACGGCCCAAACUCCUACGGGAGGCAGCAGUAGGGAAUUUUCGGCAAUGGAGGAAACUCUGACCGAGCAACGCCGCGUGAAUGACGAAGUACUUCGGUAUGUAAAGUUCUUUUAUCAAGGAAGAAAAGCAAAUGGCGAACCAUUUGUUUGCCGGUACUUGAUGAAUAAGCCCCGGCUAAUUAUGUGCCAGCAGCCGCGGUAAGACAUAAGGGGCAAGUGUUAUCCGGAAUUAUUGGGCGUAAAGGGUGCGUAGGCGGUCUAGUAAGUCAGUGGUGUAAUGGCAACGCUUAACGUUGUGCGGCUAUUGAAACUGCUAAACUUGAGUUAGAUAGAGGCGAGUGGAAUUCCAUGUGUAGCGGUAAAAUGCGUAAAUAUAUGGAGGAACACCAGAGGCGUAGGCGGCUCGCUGGGUCUUAACUGACGCUGAGGCACGAAAGCGUGGGGAGCAAACAGGAUUAGAUACCCUGGUAGUCCACGCCGUAAACGAUGAGUAGUAAGUGUCGGGUUAAACCGGUACUGAAGUUAACACAUUAAGUACUCCGCCUGAGUAGUACGUACGCAAGUAUGAAACUUAAAGGAUUUGACGGGACUCCGCACAAGCGGUGGAUCAUGUUGUAUAAUUCGAAGAUACCCGAAAAACCUUACCAGGUCUUGACAUGUUUUUGCAAAAUGAUAGUAAUAUCGUGGAGGUUACCAGAAACACAGGUGGUGCAUGGUUGUCGUCAGCUCGUGUCGUGAGAUGUUAGGUUAAGUCCUAAAACGAGCGAAACCCUUAUCGUUAGUUGCCAGCACGUUAUGGUGGCGACUUUAACGAGACUGCCAAUGAUAAAUUGGAGGAAGGUGAGGAUCACGUCAAAUCAGCAUGCCCCUUAUGACCUGGGCUACAAACGUGAUACAAUGGCUGUUACAAAGGGUAGCUGAAACGCAAGUUCUUGGCCAAUCCCCAAAAACAGUCCCAGUCCGGAUUGAAGUCUGCAACUCGACUUCAUGAAGUUGGAAUCGCUAGUAAUCGCGAAUCAGCAUGUCGCCGUGAAUACGUUCUCGGGGUUUGUACACACCGCCCGUCAAACCACGAUAGUUGGCA